rnacentral:rRNA from 1 species
AUUAGAUACCCUGGUAGUCCACGCCGUAAACGAUGCUCACUGGAUCUUGGCGAUACACGGCCAGGGUUCAAGCGAAAGUAUUAAGUGAGCCACCUGGGGAGUACGUCGGCAACGAUGAAACUCAAGGGAAUUGACGGGGGCCCGCACAAGCGGAGGAACAUGUGGUUUAAUUCGAUGAUACGCGAGGAACCUUACCCGGGUUUAAAUGUAGAUUGCAUGAGGUGGAAACGCUUCUUCCCUUCGGGGCUAUUUACAAGGUGCUGCAUGGUUGUCGUCAGCUCGUGCCGUGAGGUGUCGGGUUAAGUCCUAUAACGAGCGCAACCCCUAUCGCCAGUUGCCAUCGGUUGAAGCCGGGCACUCUGUCGAGACUGCCACCGUAAGGUGCGAGGAAGGCGGGGAUGACGUCAAAUCAGCACGGCCCUUACACCCGGGGCGACACACGUGUUACAAUGGCCGGUACAGAGGGCAGCCACGGGGUGACCCGGAGCGAAUCUCUAAAGCCGGUCGUAGUUCGGACUGGAGUCUGCAACCCGACUCCACGAAGUUGGAUUCGCUAGUAAUCGCGCAUCAGCCAUGGCGCGGUGAAUACGUUCCCGGGCCUUGUACACACCGCCCGUCAAGCCAUGGAAGCCGGGAGUACCUGAAGAUCGUGACCGCGAGGAACGGGCUAGGGUAAUACCGGUAACUGGGGCUAAGUCGUAACAAGGUACC